AUGAGUAGCAACUGUAACAAACUCUCAUCGGAUCUCUCCUCCGCCUCUCGCGGCGGAGCCUGCUCUCAACGCGCCGCAGAACCUUCUCGCCGACGAGAUAUUGUUGGGAAGGUGAAGUUAUCGAUGGCUCAAGCUUUUGGUAGUGAAAUUUGCGGCGUGUUUGUUGUUUCAGGAGUUUGUAUAGUUGGCGAUGAUUGUUCAUGCAAAAGGCUCUUCGCAAGUGCCUGCAUCUGA